CACUAACUGUUAGGGCGGUUUGCUGUGUCGUCCGGCCCCAGAGUUUUAACCCAGGCGGAACUAAUGAUCCCCGUCACCAGAGGGGUGGCUUGUCCCAAGCGUCUUGAGAGUGCUCAUGAAACAGCAUCUAGACAGGUUUGGGUGUUGUCAAGGAGGUGUCUACCUAACGACCUGUCUCAACCUCUUGCCAAACUCGUUCUACCCUCGUUUCAUACCCCGUUAAUUACAGGAGUGAGAAGAAUGGCAAAUGGUCCGCUCAUUGAAGCUUAUUGGAGCAUGAAUUGUAAUUGCCCGUCACAUAAUAUGCUGUAAAGGAACGACUUCAGUGUAGAAACGCAUGGGUCAUUCAACUAUUGUCAAAUACUAAACAACGAUGGCGCUGUUUUAUUCACAAGAUCACCUAUGUUAAGAAGUUCAAGAUGUCUCAGUAGGUUCACGGUUCAUCAGCUGACAUCAAACGCUAGAUGUAGCAGGUCUCCGGGUACCAAAUACAACACAUGGCCAUAUUUGCUGCUUGGUAGAUGGAUGGAUGCAAUGAAGGACCUGCACCUGACACGGCAUUUUGCACGGACCUAAAAAAACAGAACACCUGGCGAAAUCUUCGACUUCACAAUCAGCAUUGCACUGCCGACCCUGUCCACGUUGACCACAACCACGAUGGUUUCGAGUGCUAAGGAAGACGGCCCCUGCCCUCCGCACUCAGCGUCACAGUCCAAACAUUUCUCAAGAACAUAUCUGUGGUCAGUUGACACGGAACGCCUUGUGAUACCAUGACCAUCAUUAUGUGACAGGUAGGCGUGGAAACCAUCAACGCCCGUAACAUCAUCGUCAUUAUCAUCAACAAGACAAAUCAGUCGCGUCAGUGGAUCUGACCUAUAUUCAGAAAGAAACUAGAAGACAAGGCAUAUAAUUCCUCCACCCCCCACUGAGACUCCACUUCAAAUAUUCAUGUAUAGGACACAGUCCAUCAUCAUACUUGGUACAUAGAAGAUAGCUGUCACUUGAGACCAACAAAACAAAACCCAAACAAUUCCCAACCAUUCUCCAGUAACGAAGUAAUGUAUAAUGUAUUAGAGGCUCUGCCAGACAGACGCUUGAUGCUUGUGUCGCCGUCUCCGGGAAGCGCCAGUACUUAUGUAUACGCCAAGGAGAAGGCCAAUUCUGGAUUAUUUAACUUCAUUCACCAAAGGGGGUAUAAAUUGUACUUAGAAUCAAUACUUUUCAACAUUCUGGCUUGUGAGGCCCGACAAUUUGUUGUUCUGCGGCGGAGUUUGGGGGUGAGACGUUAAUGGGGUUGCUUGACAAUGUAUCAAAAACAGGAAUUAGUCCCUAGAAAUGCUUGAAACAUAUGAUCAAAACAAAUGAUGUGCUAUGAACAAUGCAUCAUAGCCAGAUGUAUUCAGGCACAUAGUUCCAUGUAAACAUAUAAGGUUUUGUCGCAGGAGCUAACAAUAUCACCAUACUAUCUAGAGUCACCAUACUUUCUAGAGUCACCAUACUAUCUA